AUGAGCGCAUCAGCCUCAACCUCCGACGAUGGAUCCAGGCUCCCCCGGUCAGGUCGCGCCCCAAGUACCCGCGCAGGUGCCGCCGAGUUCUUGGGUCGCCGCCCCUCGGUCCCCCUCUUCCACCUCCCAUCCUCCGUCGCUGGAGCAGCACGGCCGUGGGCGUGCAGUGCGCUGCGACUCCUCGUGCAGUGUAGAUCGGGAAUCAGGCAGGAUUGCAGUUUCGUUGUGGUGGCUACAUGCCACAGUGAUUUUUUAGUCAUUUUGUAUUUCACUCGCUUGGGGUGCAGCUCGCGGGCGCAUCCUAUGCAGCGCGCUGGGCCUAUCUGGAGGUUCCAUGGGCCUCCUCUCCCCACUGCAUCGCCCUUCCCGGCGGCCUACUGCAAACAUGGCGAGUAG
rnacentral:rRNA from 1 species